GCAGCAUGGCAGAAUGCUUCCGUUAGAACACAGGAGGAUUCCUGUGUUCCAUAGACAACAAUGAGGCCAGUUCGAAGGGAAACCACAUGGUGACACUUCCCCACAUGGGAUGUGGAAGCAUCAGCUACAGCAUGCCAGGACAUGGGGAUGGUAGGAGGCCCUGAAGCAGAAGUCAUGUGUCCCAUGGCUUGCUCCAGUAAACAGUGGAAUAAAAAGAAAAUCUUGAACUGAAAAAAAUGGGAUUCUGCUCCCAAUCCUAUGUAGCUAUGCCUGCCUACAAUAGGUGAGGUAAACAGCACUGCUUUCAGAAAUCCUUACUGAGCAAAACAGAGGGAAAGGGGGAAGACGCAUAAGCUUACCUCAUUACCAAUAAUUAAUUUAUGCAAGGCUUCUGUGACCUGGUUGUUUAUUUCCAUAUGCUCAAACUGUUAGUUUUGAAUAAAAGUCUACUGAAACAUG